AAUUAAUUGCAACAAUGGUCUCAAAUUUUUUAAAAAUUACAAAUUAACAUAUCAUCAGCCAAAUCACCCACCCCACCCACUACUAUCAGCACUAUUCAAAUCAUCAUUGUCACCUCAAAUUCACGAUGCACCACCGUCACCUUCUUUUCAAAUUCACAACAACCACCACUUCAUCUGCCUCAAACCAUCACCACCACCUUCACUUCAAAUCCACCAUUAGCAUCCAUCUUCAUUCAUUUCAUAGUCCACAACCACCCAUCUUCCACAAUCAACCACCACCAUCCCAUCUUCUGGAGCCAUCCAUCUUAAUCCCUUUCACAGCUCACCACCACUCGUCUUCCACAGUCAACUAUAACAAAUACUGCCUACUUUUCCUUCAUUGGGUGGUUAUUUUCGACACCAAAGUUAAUCUUGAGUUCCGACGAUGGAGCUUCACUGAUGACAAGGCUACUGUAUCAAUUCAUGAAGCGGUUGGACUUUGAAAUUUGAUUUUUAUUUUUAGUCCACCACCAUGUGCUAUGAGCUAAAUGCCUCACAUGCUUUAGCGAGUUUGGUAGCAAAAUACCUAUAGGCAUUGGAAGGAGAGUUCCAUCAAAGAAGGACCUUCGGAGGCGGUGAUAGUGACGAAUAGCAUGUGGCAAAUGAAGGUAGAAGACAGAUUGUAGAUUUGAAACAUUGGGGGAAAUUGAUUAAGUGAUAAGGGCAUGGUUGUUGGUUUCCGAUGACGAUGUUGCAAUUGGUGGUAGGGUCGGAUGGGGAGAGAGAGAGAGAGUCAC
rnacentral:lncRNA from 1 species